CGCAGCCAGCACAUGCACACCACCUCCCUUCGGGAUGAGCCUUUGGCACGACUGGCGGAUCACAUUAAUGCUCCAUCAUGUUACCGCAGCGGAGCAUCGCUUGGCACGAUGAAGCAGGAUACUCCCUAAAGAAAACUUUGAAAGAACAGUGCUGCACGGCUGAACUAGGACCUAACUGCUGCAGAUUAGGAAAUACACUGCACCCAGAAGAUGGAUGGAUUUCAUUCCUCAGGGUGUGCCAAUGCUGCCAAACAGCACACUUGGAGUUCAGUGCACAAGCACAGCAUUGAGAAGCUGGGAAAAUGAACCCAUGUGGAGCUUCGUGCUGCUCUUGGUUUCCCUGACGGCCCCACCCAGCGACAUUUGGAACGCAGGCAGACACACAUGGCACAAUGGACACAUCUCGUGGACCAAGCGGUCGGUGAAAUCACAUUAGUGGCAGAAACUGUUGUGGUAAGGAUGCAGCACACUUCCAGCUCUGUGGAAUUCCAAAGCCUUACAGGUUUAAUCAACAGUGAAAAUUCUGAGAUCUUGACGUUUCUCUCAUUUUUCUGACCAUCUGCCUUCUUCCAUGGUGUUUUCUGUAUUUCCUGCAUUUGUCCUAUGCUGGAAACAUGGGAUUAUUCCCUCUCAUAAGAUCUUAAUUUUUAGUUUCUAGAGCACAACUCCCAUAUGUGCAAAAGCCAUACAGAAUAUCAACUAAAUAUUGGCAAAAUGAAAAUGGCCAAUAUUGAUUUGACAUUUUGUCAGCAUUCAAUUAGGAAUGAAGCAAAUAUCCUAAUUUGGCACCAGGGGAUGAAAUUGGAGUUUGAUGUUUUAUAUUUGAUUUGCCUAUUAAAAAUGUUUUCAUCACCCUGUCGCUGUGUGAAAGGCUGACACGAAGAACACGGAAAAGUAACACGGAAGAAAAGCUCCAUGGAUGUUCCUAAUGUGUUGCCACAAGGUGAGGGCAACUUUUUUUCUAUCUACACACAACUUUCAUUUGCUCUGAGCCCACUCAAAAUGCUACUUGACAAACUAAUAGGUAACAAGAAUCUCUCCACGUUUCAGAACCAACCAGGGCACGUUAAAAAUCCACUAGCAGCUGGCUUUGGCAGUAUGAAUUCUCUGGCUGUCCAGGCAAAUUACACACGGAUGCGUGCUGCGGGUUGUUGGAGAUGGCCAUCCCCACAGGAGGCAGGACACGCUGGCAGACAUGGAGCCUGAGCAAAUUCCCAUUUGCACAAACCCAUAUAAUGCCAGAAAAAUUAACCAGCAGGACCUUCUUCUGUAAGUGCAAGACCAUGCGCAUGCACACAGUCAGACAGCUUUUCACAGAGAACUGUAACAUUACAUGGGAUGAUCAUAGGAAUAUUCAGGUACAGAAUAAAAAUGACCACCAGUUCCUGACUCGGUAAUUAAGCCUUUUAGCCUAUAUAACAAGUAUGCAGAAAGUAUCACAGGCAUCAACAACCUCCCAAAACUCUAUAUCCAACUAGCGUACUGAUGAAUGUGCUUUAGAAAGACUUAUCAUUUACAAAGAAGACCCAAAAAUCUACCAUCCCGACACCAGUGUUUUCCCCCUAUAAACCAGUACUACUAAAAAAUGACAAGUGGCAAAUGACCAGCUUUGUAAUGAAAUCUGAGGAAGGGAUCCACUACUCUUGCCCAGAUUCUCAUUCAUCCAAUAUCUUCCUAGUGGAUUCUGCACGCAGGUAUAAACCUCUGGCCUGUGCUUUGCAGAAAGUCAAACCAGAUGAUGACAAACAGGUCCUGUAGGUACAAAUCUAUAAUGGUGAAUUUCAGAGCCACAUUUACUACAGCAAAAGACAAGGUACUAAAUUAAUGUACAGUGGGUAAACUAUGUCUGUCUGUAAUGUCCGAGUACUGUGAGAGUGCGGUAAGGGAAGCAGAAACUGCCCCUCCAGCAAAGGAAUCCUGAGUAUUAACCUGAAGUUGGGAGCAGAGUCUGCUGACUGAGACACGAAGCAAGCUCAUUUGAAGUAUUUCCAGAAUGAUCUCCAUAAAGCAUGUCACCUGCCUAACAGCAUCUGAAGAGCCACAAACACAGCCAACAGCUCAGAGACAGGAGCCCCACCGAGUCUGGGCGAAGUCAUUACCAAUGGGGAGAGCAAUGUUUGCACUGGAGGAGAGAAUGGAAUUCAUUAGAUGUAAAAUGACAGUUCCUAUUCCUGACAAGGAGGAGCCAGUAAAACGGAGGCUUUGUUUGUUUGUUAGUUUACUAUAAAGAUCUUAAAGCAAAACAAACACUGAAAAUUGAGAAAUAGCUGACAGUGAUGAACUCGGGUAAAUCCAACCUCUUUUACAAGGGAAUACCAAAGCAGAUUUUAAACAUUUGGCAGCUUAUCAGAAGCCAGGGAAGAUUAAAUAUGUGAGUGAAAAAUCAGGCCAAGAAACCAAAACCAGCUUUUCACAGCAAAAGAAAGCCAAGGAGGAACAGUCUAAAAAGCACUUGGAAAGAAAUACUACGAUCAUUUCACUCUUAGGAAAUAGAUCACUAAAGCAAGAGGAAUUUGAAUUCCUUUUGGAAGUGUGCAGGUAUUUAUGAAGGUAUUUAGAAGAUUUAGCGCGAGUGUGGAAGCACUGACAGGAUCGAGGCUGUCAAAGAGAGCAGAGCCCCUCAGAAACAAUGAGUGCACACGUACUCCCACUGCUGCUAUGGCUUGGGUUGCUCACCAACAGCACAAAGACAGGAGAUGGUUUAUACAAAAGUCACCAAUGUGGAAUGCCUGAUGGACGUUUCCAACCUCCUUGUAUGACUCGGCAAAUCUGUGUCAAAGUUCCUAACAGCUGAAAUAACUCCGAGCUCCAGCACGGGCUCUGCUACUGACUCCCUCAGACGAACCCUGCUGCAUCUCCUGUGCUGCUUUCACAUUUCUAAAGCUACACAACACUCCUCUAUACAGACCCAAAUAACUUACUGGAUUGACAGUGCACUGAUGAUAAGAACUGCAACUUCAACACUGAGUUGGGUUUUUUUCGGGGUGGAAUACUGCAUGGAGUAGUUCCCUACAGGUAUUUAACUCUGUGCCUAACUUGACUGUGUAUACCUGGCUUUUUGUGGGUUGCUAAAAUGGUGAAGACCACAUUUUAAAAGUGUGUGCACAUGUAGGUGAAGGAGAACAAGUAAAUGACUUCAGAAAAGCUCACAUAAGAAAACAGCUCCCACAUGAAUCAGCCUGUAUCUCAAUCCUUCUUCAUAACUGUGCUCUCAAAGCUGAAGAAAAGGUACUCUGAGGUGGUGUUCAAGGCCAGGUUUGAUGAAGCUUUGAGCCCCUGAUCCAGUGGGAGGUGUCCCUGCCCAUGGGAGGGGGUGGAACUGGAUGGGCUUCAAUGCCCCUUCCAACCAAAACCAUUCCAUGAUUCUAUGGAGUAUCACUCUACAUCUAUUUUAAUUCAGUUUUACUAAGCAUAUGCAGGCUACCAAGUAACAGAGUAAAUCUCACAGCAUCUCAUAGCUGGAGAACUUCAAACAGCACAGUACAAAGAAAACAACCAGCUAAAGAAACAGAGGGAAAUUUGGGUGAGUAAAGAGAUAACUUUUAAAACAGUUUUCAGGGACAUUAGCAGUUGCAGAGGUCUCUUCUCUACGUGGGACAUCUCCUAUAAGGCUAUUCCUUCCCUAUCAGUGAAACUCAACUAUAAAUGGCUCAGAAUUCCCAAACAUCCUUUUCAGAAAUAUUGAGAGUUCUGUUCCAUCUACAUUCCAACACCUUUAGAGGCCAAACACAAAGAGGGCAAAAUUGCAACAGAAUUGAGUCUGGGGCAGCAAAAAUUUUCUGUGGGGAAAGAAUAUACAUGGGGACCGCACUGAAAGCAGAGUGAAAGAGAUUGUCAUCACAAAUUGGUACAGCAUGUUGCACUCUGAAAAUAACUACUGAGUAAUCUCAACUAAGUGAACACUGGCCUCUCUCUAGCAGAGAAGGCACCCAAAGUGUGUUUAGACUGAACAGACAGUAUUAUUAAAAAGAGGCCACUCUUUCUUACUGUGGUAUCUCUCACCCACAGGAACUUUGAUUAGGAAAGGCUUCCUUCUGGGUGCAACAAACUACAAAAUAUUCAUUACCACUUGACAUUACCGAAGAAGUGACAGCAUGAAAAGUUCGAGUUUCCAGCUCAGUAUUCAAUUCCAAAUGUAACAAACAUUUUCCAUUUCCUACAUUCCCAGGGAAAUGCCGAAGCCCACAGGCUCUUCACUCUGUUUCAAACAUUUGUGUUUGAAGUUAAGAAGUGUUUGCCUUCCCCUUCAGUGGUGGGUGAUCUCUGCAUACUUCUCACACGCUUUCCUCAAGGGCUUGUGAUUCCUAAGGGGAGUUCACAACAUGUUCCACGUCUUCAGGUCUGACCUACAUUCCCGUGUCGCUCAGACUCUAUGGCGUAACAGAUUUCCAAGUCCCAAAGAGAAAUGAAGGUUCCUGGUAAAACCUUGAGCUUGCUGUAUUCCUUUCAAGGAACAUUACAUUUUUCAGUGCAGUGAGACUAGGCACGACACAAAUUUCAGACACACUUUUUCACGUAACAGAAAAAGAGAGAAGGGAAGUGAAGCCAAAACCUCUCCGACUUUUUUUUUCUGGCUGAUCUCAAUCUGUAGGAAUUCCCCAAUCACAAAAAUGCUCUGCUCUUGCUAAGGAAAUGAUAUUGAUUAGAAAAAAACCUUCCAGAUGUUAACCGAAAGCAAUCUCGAGAUGAAGGGAAAGUGGAGGAGAGAAGAAGUGUGCGGUGACCCACCCCAGGCAGGAAACUCAGCACGAGCCCUGUACCCUCUCUGGGCUGGGAUGCAGCCAAACGCCAGACAGUGCUCACACACACUCACACUGGGCUGCUCUCCCCCCGUCCCAGCAGUAAUUAGAAUGUUUCCAGCUUAACCCCAUCAAUUCUUUAUAUCCUUUCUGAUUUGCAUUAUUAGGUAAACAUAUAAAUACAUUAGAAUUAAAGUUAUAGUAGGAAGAGUAGGUUUUUGUUUAUUAUUUUUUCCUUCCAGAAGAACCAGAACCUCCUAUUUGUCUUCACAAUUCCCAUGCCAUUUCUUGCUUAUAUCCUUAUCAGGGCAGUUCCCUGAGUGAGAUCCGGAGGUAUCUCAAAAGGCAUAGUUACGGUUAAAAUAUGAAGUUCUUCAAGAGAAGCCACUGAACUCAUAGCCAAGACAAAUGUCUUAGUUCUUUGUAAGUUAGUUAAUGAGAUUUAAUUCCUUAUGGGUUUUGGAGAAUGACGAGAAUUAUCCAGCUGUUCAUUUCUGUGGGGGUGAACUACCAGGGCUCCCAUAGAGUUCUUCUACUUAUGACAUUUGUACUUUACUCUCUAUCAGAUUAAUGCUACUUCGCUUAGAUAUUCAGGGAAAAGAAAGGCAAGGGAAAAAAUUAAAGCACUUCGUUUGUGAAAGUCUACACAUGUUUCUAAGUCUGAGAUUUCUCUUAUUUUCUUCCUACUGGAAAAAUGUUCAUCAUGGGAAAAACCUGUUUCCUGUUGCAGAGACUACUGCACUGACACUAAGCGCAAUCAGAAGCUAAUCUCCCGAGGCACACUCUCACCUACUUAUUUACCAUUUCACAAUUCCCUAUAGGACUGAAAUUCUCCUCUUUCCAACAGACCAUGAACACUGUGUGACGUUAUUAUUCUAUAAAUGCCUCUCAGACCCUUCAAAAUCUGAUCAUUACUACUUCAAAAUGACUGCUUCAUGCGAACAUAAAGGAUAUUUAAUGAAAUAAACAUUUACUUUAUCUAUUGCCUCGCAUUCUGCAAGAUGCAAAAGUAUCCUAUAACAGAUGCACAAGCUUUGUGAAAACACAGUUGUGCUGAGCAGCAGCGUGGGUUUGGGUUUGUCAGGGACUUUCUGCCUCCCUUCCUUUCUUACUAUGCACACGUGGUUUCACAGAGAGAAAGACAACGCUGAUGAUGGUCCCUCACGACUGGCUGGACCACAGAGGAGAGAGCAGGCUCCUGUAGGUUAACAGUUAAUCAGCAAUCCUGAGGGCCUUCCUGAGGAACAAGUGGCUGGUACAGGGAUAACUGAGCUCACUGCGGCCCUUUGUGGGCAGAACAUGUUUCUUUUGUCUAGAAAACCAAAGGAAACUUAUGAAAUUAAGAUUAGGAGUGGCAAUGACUUGGUUUGGUUGGGACUUAUAAAAAGUCAGCUGCUCAGUACUUAACCGACCUGCCUCUCAUUUCAGUUCUGGGCCACUCAAAGCUGCUUGUGAAAGAAGAACAGACCAAGAACUAUUCCUAGAAACAAUUCAGCAAAUUGCCAGCAAAUAUGGAGAAACCAUGAACUGUUUGUAGAAGAUACAGGAAUAGGCAAAAUUGACUGCAGAAAUUCUUAGCUGCCAUUUACUCCCCCAGACCGUUACCAAACACAGAAGGUGCUUGGUCCUAAAACCAAAAUAAUUUAUUCAACAAAAAUGCCACUUGCUGUCAUUGUUAUUAUUAAUGUUUGCAUUACAGGAGUGAUAUGGAUGCAAUCUGUCUUAUAUGACUAAAAUCAGACAAGUGAAAUGUUCUAACUGAAGAAUCAUAGGAAAGGCUUUGCAGUCCUUUCACAAGCAUGGUCCAGACCUAAGCUAAACAACUCAUUGGAGAACAUUCUGCAGGGAGUCGUUAUGAACUGGCAGAAGACAUGGACAAGAUGACCUCAUGGGUUUUUUCCAUCUCUGAUUUCUGUGACUACAUAAUUCCAUCUUGAUAUGGGACCAGAAGAGCUGACAGUUCCAUCUGCAGUCCCUCUUAAAAGUUAUUGACUCUACUCAUGGAAUAGUUCAAAAACUGAAGGGGAAAACCUCACGUGUGUAGGAAUUGAGGGCGUGUAUCAAAUUUGGGUUAGCAACACUACUUAGAAGCCAUAAACGGGAACGAAGAUGCAAUGAAAAAGCAAAGACUAGUCAAGAUUUAAAAGCACAGUGAAGAUGUGACCAGAUGAUAUUAAGCAGAAAGAUGGCUUAUUAAGUAAAGUUUAUCACUGCUACAAAGCCACAAAUAAUUGUUUUGAAAUUUUUUAUUUUCUGUAGCAUAUAGAAGAAACUAUCUCUUUCCAAAACAGAAUCAGUUUUCUAAACUUCAGAGCUCUUCUGCUCCUGCAGGUGUCCUUGUGUAAUAGUUUCUAAAGCAUUUUCAAAAUUAAAAAUAAUAAAAGCUCUAAUGGUGCUCUCUUGGCCAGGGACAUCAGAACAGUUAUGAAAGAGCAAUAAAGCAGCCUUUCUCUUUUAGCUGCCAACAACUCCAGAAACAUGUUAGCUGGAACUCUGACCCCUUACAUAGAAAACAUUAGAACAACUGCAACUUGAUACAAUUAACUGGUAUUAGAUUCAAAGUUUGUGAGGCCAACUGGCUUUUAUGAUAUAUUUCUUGGUACUUACACACUAAUGGAAACACUCCAAACUCUUGAAAAAUAUAUUCCAGAUAGGCUGACUGUUAACUCAUUUUUUAAAGCAACUGCGUUAGCAACUGCUCGUCCUGUCUGCAAGGAAUGAAAACCAGACAGACACAGCAUUUCUGCCGCUCUACACCCGAGAAACUGUUUCUAUCUGCAUCCAGCUCUCCCUUGGAAUAGAUUAACAAUGGCAAUAUUUGAAGUGUUAUGGAGAAAAAGCUUUCAUUGCCCUUCCCAAAACACUAGUAUCACAGUCGUAACAUUUCCCAAUACAUCUCUUCUUUCCCUAGCUUAAUAUUAAGGGAGGUACAUUCUAAACCUUCAGCUAUAGCCUGUUCUGUACCACGCACUCUCUCUUUCUGUACGAUACACAAAGGGCGACAUAGGCCGGAAUAAAAACUGUGGCAGAAGGGCAAUGGUUCGAGAUUGUGAAGCUCUGAAAACUGUAAUUCCUACUCAACCCUUCCACCUGUGUUUGAAAGAGGAUGGUUACAGAUAGCCACUGAAGCAAAGGAGACGGAAGGCUGAACUGGGUCCUACUGGCCAACCCACUAAAGGAACUGUAUAAUGGGAGUUGCUGCUGGUUAACCAGAGAGAUUGAUUGGCUUCUGCUGGAAACUCAGUGGAUUGCUUAUGAUAGUUUGGAAAACUCAGCCCAGCUGCUAACUAGGAGGUGUUUAUACCACCCUGGCACUGGUAAGCAGUCCAGCCAGCAUCACAACAGCAAAAGCAAAGUGAACUUUCCAAGGUAGAAAUGACAAGUUCGUUCUGCUCCUGCUCUUCAAACGCCUCAUGAAACAGUGUCCGGCGCUGUUCUCCAGCAUCACCCGACAGCACACAGCAUGCUGCUGAGAACUCCUGCAACUCCCAAUCCAUGAACAAUUCAGACAGUUUCUGCGAACAGAUGUGUGCGUUCAUAUUGCAGUCGUUUCCCCUGCUUUCAUCUUUUUCAGGCUGAGUCUAGCUGAAAAAUGUUGAUUCAUUUUCUGUAUUGCUAUAAACAUGAAGCUUCACUUGAUCUUGGUUUAUUUUGAAAUAAAUUGAAAGGAAGCCAAGGGAAUUAGUAAAGCAAUAAUCUGAACACAGUGUGGGAAACAAUACCAAACACUCUGACAAGUCAGAAAAGUCACUUAGCUCAUUAAUAUGCACAACAAAGUGAAAAAUGAGACAGAGCACUGCUUGGGGAUCGCUGUCUUAGGUGCACCAUUGCCACAGCACAUCACUGCAAUGCUGCUACACAGGUCAGAGCUUGAGUCUGUUUCUAUAAGGAAUUAAUCUGUCCAUCUAUCUCAUUUUCUCUUCACCAUUGUAAUGAAGUGUAAAAACUCCUCUCACUACAGGAAAAUUUUCAGAAGGCACAUCAGAAUGAGAAAUAUCCCUGGAAAAUUUCAGCAGACUAGAACAUGAGCACUGAGGAUGCUUCAGAGCCCUCUUAAACCUCGGCUGCUGUGCCCUCAGCAAGGUUGUUCUGAUUUAGCUGUUAAUUAUAUCACCCUUUUCCUCCGGCAAGGUCCCCAGGAAUCUCACGCAGCUCCAUUUUCCUUAACUUUGUACAUAUAUUCUAUUUUGUAAUAGCAAAACAGCCAAGACAUGGUGCAGUUACUGCUCCUAUAGGAAUGCAAAGGUCUCUUCAGCCUUAGCUUAUCGCUCAAGCUCGACUUUGAGCACCCAGCAGCAGACAGCGUGCAAAGACAGAUUUUACUUUCAUAGUAAUUAUGACACUGAAUCACAGCGAACUGGUUUAUAUGCAACUUUUCUUUACAGUAGUGGAAAAAGAUUUCUUACAAGUCUGGACUGUGCUUUGUAGUAUGAAAUAACAACCCCACAGACCAUGGAGUCUCUUUGGAAUUGAAGGUGGUGCAACUGAGAAAAGGUUGCAUAUUUAGGAAAGUUUCCAAAGUAAAAUCACCACAAAGGGUUAAUUUUACACCAGGACUCGAAGAGGACCUGAUCUUUCCAUGGGUGUUUUCUAGUAAGCUGUGUUCCGUAACAGAAACUCAGUCGCCAAGAACAGGAUCUCUCCGGGUGUGCCGGCUGCACUGACAUUCAUGCAUUCAGUGCCGGGCUGUUCUCUUUGCUGUUCAAAAAUUUUACAGGGAUGAUUAGGCAAAUGUUUCCAUAACAAACAUUUAUAGAAUUUCCUGCAGAUGUUGUAGCACUGACAUAACAGACACAAAAUCCAGGUUUGCCAUGUUCAUACAGGACAUAGGAAAAUAUAGAUGGUGAUGGCUCUAACGGGGGAACAGGCGCUGGAGGCAGGGGUGGGGUUUUUUUAUCAUCAUCAUCAUUAUCAUCAUCCAUUUUCAGUCCUCAAAAAUUCCUCCCAGUAGGUUGAGAUGAUUCUUUUAAAAGAAAUGACUGAAUUACACAGGAAAACUGAUAGAAUUCUUUAUAAUCAUCAAAAGAGCGUGGCUACAGCACAAGGCCAUGUGAAAUGCUCGCUCUGCAAUUCUGUCAUUGCUUGGAGCAAUGGAACUGCGGUGUUGUGUGCUAUUUGUUACAAGGAACAGAUUUGGAAUUCCUUUGACAACAGUUUGUUCUGAGAGACAGAAUAUUGGGAAGACAAAAAUCUAAUUCACGGUCACUUAAAAUCAGAAGUUCAGAAAUAGUUAUGAUUUAUGAGAGAAUGACAAAACAUGUGGCAGAUACUUCCAUCACAGAGGCACACAAAGAUGGUUGACUUAAUGCCCAUUUAACUUACCAGGUAAAUCAUUACAUAAGCCUUUGUGACCUUGAUCAAAACUCUCAAUAAACACGACCAGAGCAGGAUCUUCAUUUAUGCUUUUGGCCAAUGAUGUGUCUAUUUAUAGCGUUCAUAACAAAACAUGUACCUUACCACGGCAACCGCAGCGCCCAUGUGCUACCGCUGACACAAAAAGCACUAACCAGUGUCAAAUCAUGCUUCCGGAACAAUUUGUUUCCCGGUUUCCAAGCACAUAUUCCUCAUCAUUGAUCAUCAUGAAACAUUAUUUAUUGCUUUUCUCUGCUGCACAUUUGUCUCAUUUUUAUUUUCUUCACAGAAGCAGAAAAGUCUGCAUCAGAAAAGACAGAAUGGUGGUUUCCAUUUUGCAAGUCAAGUGUUCCAAUUUUAUAUAUAAUUUUCACAUAUGAAUUAACAAGGUUACCUGUACGAGGAAGCCUAAUGAAUAAGAGAGUUUUGUGUUCCGGAACUUGUGUGCUACAGCCUCAUCUCUACUAAAGUCUGCUGAACAAAGGAGCCACAGAGGUGAAGCGAGGGCUGGAGCACCUCCUGAAUGAUGGGCUGAGAGAGUUGAGGUUCUCAGCGUGCAGAAGAGAAGCUUCCACAGAGACCUUAGAGCAGCUUCCAGUACGGAAAGUGGCUCCAGAGAAGCUCUUGAGCAGGGAGUGCAGAGAUAGGACAAGUAGACAUGGUUUU